rnacentral:rRNA from 1 species
GAUGAACGCCGGCGGCGUGCCUAAUACAUGCCAGUCGAGCGAACAGACGAGGAGCUUGCUCCUCUGACGUUAGCGGCGGACGGGUGAGUAACACGUGGAUAACCUACCUAUAAGACUGGGAUAACUUCGGGAAACCGGAGCUAAUACCGGAUAAUAUAUUGAACCGCAUGGUUCAAUAGUGAAAGACGGUUUUGCUGUCACUUAUAGAUGGAUCCGCGCCGCAUUAGCUAGUUGGUAAGGUAACGGCUUACCAAGGCGACGAUGCGUAGCCGACCUGAGAGGGUGAUCGGCCACACUGGAACUGAGACACGGUCCAGACUCCUACGGGAGGCAGCAGUAGGGAAUCUUCCGCAAUGGGCGAAAGCCUGACGGAGCAACGCCGCGUGAGUGAUGAAGGUCUUCGGAUCGUAAAACUCUGUUAUUAGGGAAGAACAAAUGUGUAAGUAACUAUGCACGUCUUGACGGUACCUAAUCAGAAAGCCACGGCUAACUACGUG